rnacentral:lncRNA from 1 species
GCAGGGAUGCCCAGCAUAUGGCCCAUGCAGUCCAGCUACUUGGUAUGAUGUUACCUGUCAAGACUUGAAUUUUUGACUCUGGAUCAUGUUUACCCCCCCUCCGGAGGGUGUCACAAAGGAUUAUGGCACGACUCAUCCCUGAACAGGUAGGAGCAAUUCCUACGCAUUGCAAGAAAUAACAAAAAUAAGGUCACAAAAAC